rnacentral:lncRNA from 1 species
GUUGUACUUACACGUCGAGCAUACAUUCGGAGGAAGUUUAUAAUGAAUUAACCAGAUUCCGCUUCAUGCUCACUCGCCACGAUCGACGUCCAACAAACCGUCGUGAAAAUGCACCAAACACACCUACCUACCACAAGCUGGCAGGCGUUAGAAGUCCAAAAGUAGAAGAUGCUCGAUGUCAACGUUCCUGGCACGUUAGGCCGUUGAAAAGGCUCUUCUCACCAUGCGGCUGCCGGCGCCAGCAAUCAUGCGCCUGCACAGCACCUGCGCAUGACGGGAUACGCCGCGCCGUUCAUCCACAACAAAUACGCCCUGCCACGUGCGCCAAAACACGCGCAGAAACUGGUAGAACUAGAAAGUUAACAUAAGGGGCCCCGCGCUGCGGCUCCUUUAGUUGAGCCAUGAGCCCAUGGCACGCAUAAUGCACCAGAGGCACAUAUGAGGAUACAAGUUUAGAUACACGCCACGAAGGCACCAACCUCCGACACGACGCGCAGUCCUUAAUGCCCAUGCCCUCGUACGUUCCCAAGACGCACUCCUCCCUAUUGCCGCCACCACCCUGUGUGGGCCGACCGCGACUUCGCACCUGGUAUGCCUCAAAAACUGUCAACACCGGCCUCCCGACCGCUGUGUUCCGCUCCUGCUCACAAAAGUUCUUGGCAAAGGAGAAUUCGCUCCGUCCUUGACACGAACACGAUCAGUCAUAACAGUAUUAACAACAAUGCGUUGUCUUUUGGGUUUUUAUAUUUUCGGAUGAAAAAUGCGAUGUGCAGUCAGGAUUGCGCACAGUUCGGGCUCAGGUAAUGCAAACCCUGCUCCCGACGUCCCACCUGCGCCGUUGGCCCCAGCGCACGCAGCUUAACGUGUUGAAAACCGUAACAAAAACGUCCGAACCAAAACCAGCGUGUAUGUUUGAAGGCUACGAGUUUGCACCUGAGCACUGGUACAGACAACCUUAGGUCCGCCGGAAAGUUGGGUUGGUGCAGGUCCAGUCAAGACUCUCAUCGGCGAUGUCGGUCUGGAUGCCUUGGCGGCAAAAGUAAUGGCAGUUGAAGGGCAUCGUCUCUCCGGUCUACGGGGACAGCCAAGACAAAAGCACAGGUACACAGGAGAGCCAUUAAGUAUUGAAUAUACGGACACGUGGUAAUGUGCAAGAGAUUGUGAUUUAAAAACGAGUCUGACAAGUAUGCAAGGCCCUCACUGCAAGUAUCUGUCCGCCCAAGUCCGCCGCGGAGGCGUCCUCUAGGAAUAGCGUAUAUAUUGAUAGAACAUCAUUGGGCGACGAUCCGAGGAAUAAGUCAUGCUGAUGAAUUAACAGUAAAUUACGAUGUGCAUGGCACAACACGGGGUAAGAC